rnacentral:rRNA from 1 species
AUUAAACGCUGGCGGCAUGCCUUACACAUGCAAGUCGAACGGCAGCACGGGAGCGAUCCUGGUGGCGAGUGGCGAACGGGUGAGUAAAGCAUCGGAACGUGCCCUGGAAUGGGGGAUAACGUAGCGAAAGUUACGCUAAUACCGCAUAUUCUGUGAGCAGGAAAGCAGGGGAUCUUCGAACCUUGCGUUUCAGGAGCGGCCGAUGUCGGAUUAGCUAGUUGGUGGGGUAAAGGCCUACCAAGGCGACGAUCCGUAGCGGGUCUGAGAGGAUGAUCCGCCACACUGGAACUGAGACACGGUCCAAACUCCUACGGGAGGCAGCAGUGGGGAAUAUUGGGCAAUGGACGAAAGUCUGACCCAGCAACGCCGCGUGAAGGAAGAAGGUUUUCGGAUCGUAAACUUCUAUCCUUGGUGAAGAUAAUGACGGUAGCCAAAGAAGGAACGCCCCGGCUAACUACGUG